rnacentral:rRNA from 1 species
UACGGGGGGAGCAAGCGUUGUUCGGAUUUACUGGGCGUAAAGGGCGCGUAGGGCGGCUCGGCACGUCCGUUGUGAAAUCGCCCGGCUCAACUGGGCGGGGUCAGCGGAUACGGUCGAGCUUGAGCAAGCUAGGGGGCAAUGGAAUUCCCGGUGUAGUGGUGGAAUGCGUAGAUAUCGGGAGGAACACCAGUGGCGAAGGCGGGCACCUGGGCUAACACUGACGCUGAGGAGCGAAAGCGUGGGGGAGCGAACAGG